ACUCAUCUGAUCUUAGCUUAGUAGCAGUGACAGCCCCUCAAGUUCAGAAAAUGGAAACUCCUCCUGCAAACGAAUAGAUAGUCUGUUUCUACUGUCCGAAAAAAUCAUUUUGCAAUGCUUCCCUUUUCCAUUAACUAGUCCCUCUUUUCAUUCCUUUAUUUUUGUUUUCUAUCGUCCACGUCUAAUAUAGGUUUCUCCGCUAUAUGUUUCUCUUGUAAUAUCUAGGUACUAUAAAGGCUGGGUUGG
rnacentral:misc_RNA from 1 species